rnacentral:lncRNA from 1 species
UAAUUCCUUUCAAUUUAAGUGAGAAUCAGUACACUACAGUUAAGAAGCCACAAAUAAUCUCCCUUUCCUUGGCUUAAUUGUGUCUCACUUUCAUUAGCCAUAAUGGUAAAUGUGGUUCGCAGUCUUCUGAGGACACACUAUUUUGAAUUUACUGCCGGGAUGUAUGCACUAGUCGACAGUGCCUGCCUUGGCGCUCUCCAUACACCUUUCGUGGGCUUCAUACGCACAUGCCUGCGAACUUUCCUACAGACAUAAAAACUCGCAAUGUUACACAGAAGUUAAAGGGCGUAGAUUGCUGCGGUUUGCAGGCUCCAUACAUAAUUGUCCUUUGCUAUAGACUCUCGACACAGAAAGUCUGCGGUACGUAGAGCUUAAACGCCGCAAGUCGCCGCUUCAGCAUAACUUGCACUGUACUGUGCUCGCGGUUUGAACGCGCGAGCGAGCGAACGAACCAUCGGAGCGUGUGUCUCCUGCGCCCGACCGCUUAAUGGAGCGUUUAGGGAAAGGAAACAUGGCGCUGUAUAAAGGCCGGAAUCCCGAGCGAUGAAAUCUGACCGCUGAAGAGAAGGACACGCUCGCUUGUCCUCUUUCUUAGUUCCUGUUCUUAUCUGGCUAGUAGACGACGACUGAGGUCGGGAACGACACUGUCGCGGCCAGCACGCGUUCUACCGAGUCCACGAAGACGGCGAAAAAAAGAACAUAACACGAAGAAUAAGUUAAAUUGCCUUUUUUUUUUCGCCAGGUGUACAGCGGCGCGCUAUCGUACAUCUGUAUGAGA